rnacentral:rRNA from 1 species
GAUGAACGCUGGCGGCGUGCUUAACACAUGCAAGUCGAACGGGAAACCUUUUAUUGAAGCUUCGGCAGAUUUAGAUUGUUUCUAGUGGCGGACGGGUGAGUAACGCGUGGGUAACCUGCCUUAUACAGGGGGAUAACAGUCAGAAAUGACUGCUAAUACCGCAUAAGCGCACAGAGCUGCAUGGCUCGGUGUGAAGAACUCCGGUGGUAUAAGAUGGACCCGCGUUGGAUUAGCUAGUUGGUGAGGUAACGGCCCACCAAGGCGACGAUCCAUAGCCGGCCUGAGAGGGUGAACGGCCACAUUGGGACUGAGACACGGCCCAGACUCCUACGGGAGGCAGCAGUGGGGAAUAUUGCACAAUGGGGGAAACCCUGAUGCAGCGACGCCGCGUGAAGGAAGAAGUAUCUCGGUAUGUAAACUUCUAUCAGCAGGGAAGAA